GUGUGUGUGUGUGUGUGUGUGUGUGUGUGCACACGUGCACGCGCAGGCACACACGCGCA
rnacentral:pre_miRNA from 14 species